GCCCAUGGAAGAAAGGUGGCCUCUACCUGUAAGCUAUCGCCUGAAGAGGGGUUUGCGUCUGAUUAGCUGGUUGGAGGGGUAACGGCCCACCAAGGCGACGAUCAGUAGCCGGUCUGAGAGGAUGAACGGCCACACUGGAACUGAGACACGGUCCAGACUCCUACGGGAGGCAGCAGUGGGGAAUCUUCCGCAAUGGGCGAAAGCCUGACGGAGCAACGCCGCGUGAGUGAUGACGGCCUUCGGGUUGUAAAACUCUGUGAUCCGGGACGAAAAGGCAGAGUGCGAAGAACAAACUGCAUUGACGGUACCGGAAAAGCAAGCCACGGCUAACUACGUGCCAGCAGCCGCGGUAAUACGUAGGUGGCAAGCGUUGUCCGGAAUUAUUGGGCGUAAAGCGCGCGCAGGCGGCUUCCCAAGUCCCUCUUAAAAGUGCGGGGCUUAACCCCGUGAUGGGAAGGAAACUGGGAAGCUGGAGUAUCGGAGAGGAAAGUGGAAUUCCUAGUGUAGCGGUGAAAUGCGUAGAGAUUAGGAAGAACACCGGUGGCGAAGGCGACUUUCUGGACGAAAACUGACGCUGAGGCGCGAAAGCGUGGGGAGCAAGCAGGAUUAGAUACCCUGGUAGUCCACGCCGUAAACGAUGGAUACUAGGUGUAGGAGGUAUCGACCCCUCCUGUGCCGGAGUUAACGCAAUAAGUAUCCCGCCUGG
rnacentral:rRNA from 1 species